rnacentral:rRNA from 1 species
UACGAAGGGGGCUAGCGUUGCUCGGAAUCACUGGGCGUAAAGCGCACGUAGGCGGAUUGUUAAGUCAGGGGUGAAAUCCUGGAGCUCAACUCCAGAACUGCCUUUGAUACUGGCGAUCUCGAGUCCGGGAGAGGUGAGUGGAACUGCGAGUGUAGAGGUGAAAUUCGUAGAUAUUCGCAAGAACACCGGUGGCGAAGGCGGCAUCCUGGACCGGUAUUGACGCUGAGGAGCGAAAGCCAGGGGAGCAAACGGG